rnacentral:lncRNA from 1 species
AAAAGAAUAUUUCCAAUGGUGUCACUUGUAAAAGCGGACAGAAAAGAAAGAACGAAAUCAAUCUGUCGAUACAACCGAAACCUAAACAGCUGAAAUCAGAUGCAAAGAAUGAUGAUCCGUAUUUAAAUGUCAAAGAUCGGCAAUCUACUUCAAUUAUUGUAGAUGUGUUAGCCUCAACGAUUGAUAACGCUUCACGUGGCAAAAUAAUUGAUGUAACGGGGAAAACUUGGACGCUAAUAAAGCAAAUAAAUGAUAAUAAGGCGGAUCCGCAAUUGGAUAAUAUUCAAUCGAAAAAAAAAGACAACUCCAGGGAGGGUCAAUACAAAAUUAGAUAAUCUGAAGACUUUAAACGUUUCCUCUAUAAAUUAUCUCCAACUCAUGAAAAUGCUGGAAGGAAUUGUUGUAACCCUUGAAGUCUUGGCAAAUCAAGGCCUCAUUCUAAAUGUACUUGAAGCGUCAGCAUUUACAUAAAACGGGAUUGCUUAUUUGGGAAGGUUCGAAGACAAAUAUAAUUUUGAUCUAUCUUUCAAGUCGGUAGAAGAGUUCCAAAACUUUGAUGUACAAUUGAAGGACCCUACUUGUCUCAAGGAUUUUAUGGCGUCCUUAUUUUGUUUAAUAGAUAGUUGUAGACAAUAUACAAAAACUAUUAACAACGUUUUAAAAAAAUAUGUCUCGGGACGUUGCACUGAAAUAUACUGCACAAAAAUAAUGUGCAGAUAAAUUUAUCCUAAAGGGAACAAUUUUUUACGUGGUGCUAAGUAAGCACACCAAUGAAAAUAAUUCACAACUUACUGAGAAGGAAGUCUUAUCCAGCUUGGGUACAUGCGUAACCAAUGCUAAGGAUUGGGACGGAUUUCGUGUGAAGCGAAAUAAGCAGUAAAGUUAUUAUUUUUAACGAAUCGCUUUUUAUUUCAUAUUUAUAUAGGUGUAGUAAUUUAUGCUUAUUACUUGCAAUUCUACAAGGAAGAAAACUAUAAACCCAAAGAGGACUUCCGUUUCCGGCGCAGUAGCGAGAGGCACGUGGUGAUUGAGCGUGAGUGAGUGACGGAAAGGAGAGAGUGUGUGGAAGGAGAGGAAAGGUAGGAGUGUGUGGAGGAGAGAGUGGAGGUGUGAGUGAGAGCGUGUGAAUGAGGUGGGCAUAGGGAAGGGCAGGAUAGAAGGGAAAAAGGGCCCAGAGUAUAGAGUGACAGGUGGGCAGGUGGGCUGGCAUAGACUACGGCGUGUAAAGAGAGGAAGAGGUGGUGCGAGUGGGCAGGGAUGGAUGGUAAGGCGCGAUCUGGCGGGAUAGAAAAGAGGAAGGCAAGGGAAAGAUGCAUG